GACGAACGCAGGCGGCGUGCUUAACACAUGCAAGUCGAACGAUGAAGGAGAGCUUGCUCUCCGGAUUAGUGGCGAACGGGUGAGUAACACGUGACUAACCUGCCCCUUUCUCUGGGAUAACGCUCCGAAAGGAGUGCUAAUACCGGAUACGAACUCUGAACACAUGUUCGGAGCUGGAAAGUUUUUCGGAAAGGGAUGGAGUCGCGGCCUAUCAGCUUGUUGGUGAGGUAACGGCUCACCAAGGCGACGACGGGUAGCCGGCCUGAGAGGGCGACCGGCCACACUGGGACUGAGACACGGCCCAGACUCCUACGGGGGGCAGCAGUGGGGAAUAUUGCACAAUGGGCGAAAGCCUGAUGCAGCGACGCCGCGUGAGGGAUGAAGGUCUUCGGAUUGUAAACCUCUUUCAGUGGGGACGAAGCGAAAGUGACGGUACCUAAAGAAGAAGCACCGGCUAACUACGUGCCAGCCGCCGCCGUAA
rnacentral:rRNA from 1 species